UACGGGAGGCAGCAGUGGGGAAUAUUGCACAAUGGGCGCAAGCCUGAUGCAGCCAUGCCGCGUGUAUGAAGAAGGCCUUCGGGUUGUAAAGUACUUUCAGUCGUGAGGAAGGUGUUAAGGUUAAUAACCUUAGCAAUUGACGUUAGCGACAGAAGAAGCACCGGCUAACUCCGUGCCAGCAGCCGCGGUAAUACGGAGGGUGCGAGCGUUAAUCGGAAUUACUGGGCGUAAAGGGCACGCAGGCGGUUAAUUAAGUUGGAUGUGAAAUCCCCGGGCUUAACCUGGGAAUGGCAUUCAAGACUGGUUAGCUAGAGUCUUGUAGAGGGGGUUAGAAUUCCAUGUGUAGCGGUGAAAUGCGUAGAGAUGUGGAGGAUACCGGUGCGAAGGCGGCCCCUGGACAAGACUGACGCUCAUGUGCGAAAGCUGGGGA
rnacentral:rRNA from 1 species